AAUAUUAAUUGAGCAGAGCCGCCAUUGCUGUGAAGCCAGUUCAGCACAAAGAGCAUCCAGGCCUGUGAAGGGACUGAAGUGAAUGAACAGCAUCACCUAACAGAUAAAUGCCUUAGCAGCUCCCACAAGGGAACACAUUAGUGACCCGAGAAACACCUGAGGCCAAAACUCCUUCCACCAUGGCAGGGGCAGCCUGAAUUCCCG
rnacentral:lncRNA from 1 species